CAAUCAACAAAAAAAAAGAGAAUCAAUAAAAAAAUUUUGAAAAAAAAAAAAGGAGAAAAAAAAUGAUCUCUGCAUGCAUAUCAUUUCUCAGGUACAUUCCAGAGUCUGUGCACUGAUAGAUCCGGGUGAUCAUUUACAGAUGAAAUUGUUGGUUUCAUUCGGUACUCAUUGCUCUGGUAUACUGUGCCGUUGCUGCGGAUUGCUUUUUUUCGAAGAUGAAUCAGACUCUUUGAAGGCCUGAGAAAUGAUCAUUAUCAUGUGCAUCAUAUGCAUUAG
rnacentral:lncRNA from 1 species